rnacentral:tRNA from 1 species
UCUGUAGUUGAAGUGGUACAACAGUGGCUUUUCGGGCCGCGGGUCUUGGAGAAAAGCCAAGCAGAAACUGCU